rnacentral:rRNA from 1 species
UACGAAGGGGGCUAGCGUUGCUCGGAAUCACUGGGCGUAAAGCGCACGUAGGCGGAUUGCUAAGUCAGGGGUGAAAUCCUGGAGCUCAACUCCAGAACUGCCUUUGAUACUGGCGAUCUCGAGUCCGGGAGAGAUGAGUGGAACUGCGAGUGUAGAGGUGAAAUUCGUAGAUAUUCGCAAGAACACCAGUGGCGAAGGCGGCUCACUGGCCCGGUACUGACGCUCAUGUGCGAAAAGCGUGGGGAGCAAACAGG